GCUGGCGUGGGACGGACGGGGACGUUCAUCGCCCUGGACCGGCUCCUGCAGCACAUCCGUGACCACGAGUUCGUGGAUAUUUUGGGCCUGGUGUCGGACAUGAGGUCCUACAGGAUGUCCAUGGUGCAGACAGAGGAACAGUACAUUUUUAUUCACCAGUGCGUGCAGCUGAUGUGGCAGAAGAAGAAGCAGCAGUUCUGCAUCAGUGAUGUCAUAUAUGAGAACGUCAGCAAGUCCUAGUUCAGAGUCACAGGUGGUGAGACCGUGAAGCACACCCAUCUUCCCUUGCUUCUGAUUUUUUCCUGUUGGUGGUUUGGAUGGGCAGGUGUUGUGCCACAAGAGACCACUGCUCUGCAGUGCAUGGACAAUGAGGGAAAGACACUUUUACCUUCCUGAAGCACUGGGGAGACAAAGCCUUAACGAGCCUGCCGUGUCUUUUGAACUGUUUCAUUUCUGGACUUUUUUUUUUUAAAUACUGGACCAAAUUCAGCUAAACAACAUGAAGGAAAAGACACUAUAUGUGCAUAAGAUAGUUUGCUCCAUUGUGUUGGGGUUCUGUUUGGUACUUUUGGUUAAUUUCUUUCAUAUUUGUUUUUUUUUUCUGUGCAGGUUGGGCUUAAGGUUAAAGUAAGUGCAAUAUUUUUCUAAUGGUUGACUGAAGAGCUUUCUUCAUGUGUCACUGGUCUGUCCCUAGGAGAGCAGGCAUUGUUAGUAACUAAUAAUACCUCAUUAGUGAAUAGCGAGGCAUGAGCAUACAUGAAGAAAAUCUGGAGGUUGUGAAAAGGGGCUGGGAGGGAGGGGGGCUUGCUGGGUCCGUGGAUUUGACUGUUUCCUUACAGCACUGAUGUACGUGGGGCCUGGGGGAAGCACAGGACCUGAGGAAUGGACUGACAAGCAGAAGCCAAGCUGAAAAAGGCAGCUGAGAGAAAGGGUGGGGCUGCCUCCUGACUGGGCUGCCACUAAUUAAACAGAGGGAUUGCUCUUUUUUUUUUUUUUUGCCAGCCUUUUUUCAGUAAUGCCACUGAUCAGGCUCUUGUUGUAGAUGGAUCUAAUCACAGGGCAACUGAGUUUCCAGCUGGGAUAUCUUAGCUUAUUUACUAUAGCAUUUAACUGUCUGAGCAGUCUAUGGUGCCUAUACCCCUCACUCAUUUAUUAUUUUCAGUAAUUAUUAACCCUGUGUGAAAAUGUGAAGCUGGUUCAGGU